rnacentral:rRNA from 1 species
GAUGAACGCUGGCGGCGUGCCUAAUACAUGCAAGUCGAACGAAACUUCUUUAUCACCGAGUGCUUGCACUCACCGAUAAAGAGUUGAGUGGCGAACGGGUGAGUAACACGUGGGCAACCUGCCCAAAAGAGGGGGAUAACACUUGGAAACAGGUGCUAAUACCGCAUAACCAUAGUUACCGCAUGGUAACUAUGUAAAAGGUGGCUAUACUACCGCUGUUGGAUGGGCCCGCGGCGCAUUAGCUAGUUGGUAGGGUAAAGGCUUACCAAGGCAAUGAUGCGUAGCCGAAUUGAGAGGUUGAUCAGCCACACUGGGACUGAGACACGGCCCAAACUCCUACGGGAGGCAGCAGUAGGGAAUCUUCCACAAUGGGCGAAAGCCUGAUGGAGCAACGCCGCGUGGGUGAAGAAGGUCUUCGGAUCGUAAAACCCUGUUGUUAGAGAAGAAAGUGCGUGAGAGUAACUGUUCACGUUUCGACGGUAUCUAAACAGAAAGCCACUGCUAACUACGUG